AGUGGACGCUGGCGGUAGGCCUAACACAUGCAAGUCGAACGGCAGCACAGGAGAGCUUGCUCUCUGGGUGGCGAGUGGCGGACGGGUGAGGAAUACAUCGGAAUCUACUCUGUCGUGGGGGAUAACGUAGGGAAACUUACGCUAAUACCGCAUACGACCUACGGGGGAAAGCAGGGGCCCUUCGGGCCUUGCGCGAUUGAAUGAGCCGAUGUCGGAUUGGCUAGUUGGCGGGGUAAAGGCCCACCAAGGCGACGAUCCGUAGCUGGUCUGAGAGGAUGAUCAGCCACACUGGAACUGAGACACGGUCCAGAAUCCUACGGGAGGCAGCAGUGGGGAAUAUUGGACAAUGGGCGCAAGCCUGAUCCAGCCAUACCGCGUGGGUGAAGAGGGCCUUCGGGUUGUAAAGCCCUUUUGUUGGGAAAGAAAUCCAGCUGGCUAAUACCCGGUUGGGAUGACGGUACCCAAAGAAUAAGCACCGGCUAACUUUGUGCCAGCCGCCGCCGUAA
rnacentral:rRNA from 1 species